rnacentral:rRNA from 1 species
UACGUAGGGCGCAAGCGUUAUCCGGAAUUAUUGGGCGUAAAGAGCUCGUAGGCGGUUUGUCGCGUCUGCCGUGAAGGUCCGGGGCUCAACUCCGGAUCUGCGGUGGGUACGGGCAGACUAGAGUCAGGUAGGGGAGAACGGAAUUCCUGGUGUAGCGGUGAAAUGCGCAGAUAUCAGGAGGAACACCGGUGGCGAAGGCGGUUCUCUGGGCCUGUACUGACGCUGAGGAACGAAAGCGUGGGGGGAGCGAACAGG